rnacentral:rRNA from 1 species
GACAGAGGGUGCAAACGUUGUUCGGAAUUACUGGGCGUAAAGCGCGUGUAGGCGGCCCAGCAAGUCGGAUGUGAAAGCCCUGGGCUUAACCUAGGAAGUGCAUUCGAAACUGCUGGGCUUGAGUUCUGGAGAGGAAGGCGGAAUUCUCGGUGUAGAGGUGAAAUUCGUAGAUAUCGAGAGGAACGACCGGUGGCGAAGGCGGCCUGCUGGGCAGUGACCGAAAGGUCUUAAAAGCUGACGACUGAGGCGGCGACAGCGUGGGGAGGCAAACAGGA